CAAUAGCGUAUAUUAAAGUUGUUGCAGUUAAAAAGCUCGUAGUUGGAUUUCUGGUUGAAGCGACCGGUCGGGCGUUGAUUCGUCUGCACUGGAGUCGGUUUUGGCCAUCCUCUAGGAAAGUGCGUCUGGUAUUAAGUUAUCGGGCGUAUGAUCCUGGUCUUUUACUGUGAAAAAAUUAGAGUGUUUAAAGCAGGCCUUCGCCUUGAAUACAUUAGCAUGGAAUAAUAAGAUAGGACUUUGGUCUAUUUUGUUGGUUUGCAGACCGAGGUAAUGAUUAAUAGGGAUAGUUGGGGGCACCUGUAUUGCGUUGUCAGAGGUGAAAUUCUUGGAUUUACGCAAGACAAACAGCUGCGAAAGCGUCUGCCAAGGAUGUUUNCAUUA
rnacentral:rRNA from 1 species